rnacentral:lncRNA from 1 species
AAUCAUGGACAGUGGAAUGAGUAGAUAUUUUGAGUUCAUAAGGAAUAGACGUUAUGUUUAUAUUUGGAACUGAGCUUGGUAAGUCUUGAACCUAUGUGGUGAUUAUAUUUGAAGUUAGGAACAUAAGAUUAUUGUGGAAUAGAUGAAAUGCUAUUAUUAGUAUAAUCUAAACGAAAAUAAAAUGAUGUGUGGAAAUGCAUCAAAUAUCAUAUCGAAUAUCAUACGAGAUGUCAAUGGAGGCUUGGCUAGUUGAGAGCAUGUAAUGAUAAAUGUGCGUGAAAUUAUAGCAUAGUUGGUAUGGAUGGAGUACCUAAUCU